UGUGAUGGCAGCCCUAGGAAACUAAUGUUAAGUGUCAAAUGAAUCAUAGAAAAAUAAUUCAGUGCUGAACAAGACCAGUUACUGGAGAGAUUUCUGGCAUUGUACAAUUGAUGGGUGACAUUAGGAAGAUAGACCCAUUUUUAGGGUCAUAAUCACAGUUUUAUGCACAGUUUAUAAUUGCAUCGUGUUAAGAUAGGAUACCAAAGGCCAGCCUGUGAGCACAAGGCAUCUUUAGUUCCAUGAGUAUAAUAAGCAAAUGUUUCCUCUGCUGAAACUACAGCCCUGCCCUUGUGUGGUGCCUGCACCUUGAUUUUUUUUUUUUCAGUCAUCUCUAUAGCUUUUCUCUCCUUGGAAAGGUUCCAUCUGCUUUACAACGAUAGUGUUUACUUAGCUGGCUUCCUAGGUUGGAGUAACAGGAGGGAAGAAGAGAAAUUAUUGUAAUUUUUUAGUCUUAAGCUAAAUCUUGAUAUUACUGUCAUAACCCUGGCAAGCAGUUUUCCUGUGAUAGUGUUAUAAGAAAUCUCAACCAUUAAGUAGCAACCACAAUUGUAUUCUCAUUCCCACUAUCUUUUUUUUUCCUUCUUGUUUUGGGUGUUUCUCUGCUGGAGGCAAACUGAGCUCCUGAAUCAUUAGGAUGGACGCGCCAUCAACAGAAUCUGCUUUUAGUGGAAUGGGUCUUCGGAUAAUCUGUUUUCAUCACAUCAAGAGCUAAGCCAGUCAGUUAACACAGAGGAAAUAUUAAAGGCAGUAUUUUUUCAUUAAGCAACCAGCAAGCACUUUAUGGAACUUAAGAAAGGAAGACCCCACAAGUGGACGAAGCUGAGUUAUGUUCUGCUCCCCCCACCCAGAUACAUACAACAGGACUGCCUAUCACAUGCCAACCAGUGCAACUGAAGGAGGCUUCUUGGAUGACCCACAAUGAAGGACUCCAAAGGAACGUGCUCAAGGGCCGACACAUGUGCAAACCAGAGUGCUGGAGAAUGAACAACUCAUGGGCAAACAUUUGACAAGUGGGAGACAGACCUGAUGGAUAAAGGCUUCUCCCUUUCCCACUCUCCCCUCCUCACCACAAUGGAUGGUCCUGAAAUACAUUUCAUAUGGCUUCUCUGACAGUCUUGAGACAUAUUUCCUUUGGCUUCACGGAAGUUUCUGUGGGAUUAAGCAACCAGCCAACUAAAAGCAGCAGCCAUCCUUGCCUGAGCCUGGACGUGGGAGCCUGGCUGGGAGCUCACCCAUGGCCCCUCCUUGCGUUGUCAAUUUAUUAACCAAUAACCAGCAAAAUAACCAAUUAAAGACUAUGAAAACUUUAUUUAAAAAAAUAGCAAUAAAAUAAAAUAAAAGCAGCAGCCAGCUCAAUAAGGCAUUUUAGUAUUGGCUCUCCCUCCUUACCCCCUUCACUCUUAUCUCUCAUUCCCUCUCCCUGGGAUCAUGCUCCUCAGAAAGUACUAAUGCAUAAGCCCUCAUCACAAGCCCUGUGGAAACAGGGCUAAGGCAGGUAAUAGCUGACAUGCUUUAAAGUGCAUGUGCCCGGCCUGGCCAUCUCACUCUCUGAAAUCUAUCCUGCAGACAAGCUUGCUAAAGUGUUUCAGAAACACAUGUACAAGGAUGUUCACCUGAAGUAUUUUAUGUAAUAGGUAGAGAGGAUCACACUACUAUAGUAUUAAAUGAAAAGAAGGCUGGGCACUGUGGCUCAUGCCUAUAAUCCCAGGACUUUGGGAG
rnacentral:lncRNA from 1 species